rnacentral:rRNA from 1 species
CUGACCGUAAACGAUGCCAACUAGCGAUCCGCCGGCGGAUUAAUUUGCCUCUGGUGGGGAGCUUCCCGGAAACGAAAGUCUUCCGGUUCCGGGGGAAGUAUGGUUGCAAAGCUGAAACUUAAAGGAAUUGACGGAAGGGCACCACCAGGAGUGGAGCCUGCGGCUUUAAUUUGACUCAACACCGGGGGGAAAACUCACCCGGCCCGGACACCGUAAGGAUUGACAGAUUGAUAGCUUUUUCAUGAUUCGGUGGAUGGUGGUGCAUGGCCGUUCUUAGUUCGUGGAGCGAUUUUGUCUGGUUUAUUCCGAUAACGAGCGAGACUCUGGCCUACUAAAUAGUUGGCGCAUUGCUACUGUGCGUACACACUUCUUAGAGGGAUUUUCGGUGUUUCAGCCGCACGAAAUUGAGCAAUAACAGGUCUGUGAUGCCCUUAGAUGUCCGGGGCUGCACGCGCGCUACACUGGCAAAAUCAGCGUGCUUGGCCUUUCCCGAAAGGGAUUGGUAAACCCGUGAAAAUUUGCUUGGUGUAARAUUGGGAAMCYUGCAUCYUUAGAGKKCCCAWUCCCCGCCGAACUUCCCUARASCCSMYCAG